ACUCAUACCUUGUAGGGGAAAUACCAUGUCAUAAAAGUGGUUUUCCCAGGGUGAGGCUCAUCCUUUGCACUUCGGGUGUGCUGAUCCUUCUGAUUUCCCCAAAUGUGGGGAACUCAACUGCAUAAUUUGUGUUAAUGGNNN
rnacentral:snRNA from 1 species